rnacentral:rRNA from 1 species
AUUGAACGCUGCGGCAGGCUUAACACAUGCAAGUCGAGCGAGCGGCGGACGGGUGCGUAAUGCUUAGGAAUCUGCCUAUUAGUGGGGGACAACAUCUCGAAAGGGAUGCUAAUUCCGCAUACUAAUCGAUGAGCCUUAGGCGGAUUAGCUAGUUGGGGGGGUAAAGGCCUACCAAGGCGACGAUCUGUAGCGGGUCUGAGAGGAUGAUCCGCCACAUUGGGACUGAGACACGGCCCAGACUCCUACGGGAGGCAGCAGGUGGGAAUAUUGGACAAUUGGGGUAACCCUGAUGCAGCCAUGCCGCGUGUGUGAAGAAGGCCUUAUGGUUGUAAAGCACUUUAAGCUGGGAUGCGGUACUCGCAGAAUAAGCACCGGCUAACUCUGUGCCAGCAGCCGCGGUAAUAC